AUUGAACGCUGGCGGCAGGCCUAACACAUGCAAGUCGAGCGGAUGAAGGGAGCUUGCUCCUGGAUUCAGCGGCGGACGGGUGAGUAAUGCCUAGGAAUCUGCCUGGUAGUGGGGGAUAACGUCCGGAAACGGGCGCUAAUACCGCAUACGUCCUGAGGGAGAAAGUGGGGGAUCUUCGGACCUCACGCUAUCAGAUGAGCCUAGGUCGGAUUAGCUAGUUGGUGGGGUAAAGGCCUACCAAGGCGACGAUCCGUAACUGGUCUGAGAGGAUGAUCAGUCACACUGGAACUGAGACACGGUCCAGACUCCUACGGGAGGCAGCAGUGGGGAAUAUUGGACAAUGGUCGAAAGCCUGAUCCAGCCAUGCCGCGUGUGUGAAGAAGGUCUUCGGAUUGUAAAGCACUUUAAGUUGGGAGUAAGGGCAGUAAGUUAAUACCUUGCUGUUUUGACGUUACCAACAGAAUAAGCACCGGCUAACUUCGUG
rnacentral:rRNA from 1 species